UGGGGAAUUUUGGACAAUGGGCGAAAGCCUGAUCCAGCAAUGCCGCGUGUGCGAUGAAGGCCUUCGGGUUGUAAAGCACUUUUGGCAGGAAAGAAACGUCGCGGGUUAAUACCCCCGCAAACUGACGGGUACCUGCAGAAUAAGCACCGGCUAACUACGUGCCAGCAGCCGCGGUAAUACGUAGGGUGCAAGCGUUAAUCGGAAUUACUGGGCGUAAAGCGUGCGCAGGCGGUUCGGAAAAGAAAGAUGUGAAAUCCCCANAGCUUAACUUUGGAACUGCAUUUUUAACUACCGGGCUAGAGUGUGUCAGAGGGAGGUGGAAUUCCGCGUGUAGCAGUGAAAUGCGUAGNUAUGCGGAGGAACACCGAUGGCGAAGGCAGCCUCCUGGGAUAACACUGACGCUCAUGCACGAAAGCGUGGGGAGCAAACAGGAUUAGAUACCCUGGUAGUCCACGCCCUAAACGAUGCUCAACUAGCCUAGUUGGGGGCCCUUUGCGGGGCCUUGGGUAGCCGCAGGCUAACGCGUGAAGUUACCGCCUGGGGAGUACGGUCGCAAGAUUAAAACUCAAAGGAA
rnacentral:rRNA from 1 species